rnacentral:rRNA from 1 species
AUUGAACGCUGGCGGCAGGCCUAACACAUGCAAGUCGAGCGGAUGAAGGGAGCUUGCUCCUGGAUUCAGCGGCGGACGGGUGAGUAAUGCCUAGGAAUCUGCCUGGUAGUGGGGGAUAACGUCCGGAAACGGGCGCUAAUACCGCAUACGUCCUGAGGGAGAAAGUGGGGGAUCUUCGGACCUCACGCUAUCAGAUGAGCCUAGGUCGGAUUAGCUAGUUGGUGGGGUAAAGGCCUACCAAGGCGACGAUCCGUAACUGGUCUGAGAGGAUGAUCAGUCACACUGGAACUGAGACACGGUCCAGACUCCUACGGGAGGCAGCAGUGGGGGAUAUUGGACAAUGGGCGAAAGCCUGAUCCAGCCAUGCCGCGUGUGUGAAGAAGGUCUUCGGAUUGUAAAGCACUUUAAGUUGGGAGGAAGGGCAGUAAGUUAAUAUCUUGCUGUUUUGACGUUACCAACAGAAUAAGCACCGGCUAACUUCGUG